rnacentral:rRNA from 1 species
UCUCCGUUUUACGGCGAAUUGUAAUCUUGAGUGGCUAUGCUCACCGGGACGCGGCGCAGAAGUGCCCUCGAACGGGCCGCCAGAGAGGGUGACAGCCCCGUACGUGGCGCCGCGGCCUAACGAGCAGGUCUACAAAGAGUCGGGUUGUUUGGUAUUGCAGCCCUAAGCGGGAGAUAAACUUCUUCUAAGGCUAAAUAUAUGUGGGAAACCGAUAGCGAACAAGUACUGUGAAGGAAAGAUGAAAAGCACUUUGGAAAGAGAGUCAAAAGACCUGAAACCGUUGAGGAGGAAGCGGUAGAGAUGAAUUCUACAGCGAGGCGCUGGGGAGUCGGCCUAACCAUUGCGGGUUUGUCGUUCGUCAAAGGCGGCGGCUUGUAUAAGGGGAAGCCGAUGACUUGCGCGGCGUUGUGAGGCCGGAUGGGUUGACGUGAUCACAGAGGCCUGUCAAGACUGGUUUCCCUCGGGAGGCAUCUUGGGAGUGCCGGUGGCUGCGUGGACUGAGGGUGCCUUGUGCGAUCCGGUCAAAAUGGUCUUUACCGACUCGUCUUGAAACACGAACCAAGGAGUCUU